GAGGGGUAAGGCUCUUUCGGGAGUACAUGACCGACGCACGGGUGAGUAACGCGUAUGCAACCUACUUCAACAGGGGGAUAGCCCAGAGAAAUUUGGAUUAAUAUCCCAUAACAUUAGGAAUUCGCAUGUUUUCCUGAUUAAAGCUCCGGCGGUUGAAGAUGGGCAUGCGUGCCAUUAGCUUGUUGGUAAGGUAACGGCUUACCAAGGCAACGAUGGCUAGGGGGUCUUAAAGGAUGGUCCCCCACACUGGUACUGAGACACGGACCAGACUCCUACGGGAGGCAGCAGUGAGGAAUAUUGGGCAAUGGACGCAAGUCUGACCCAGCCAUCCCGCGUGCAGGAUGACAGCCCUACGGGUUGUAAACUGCUUUUAUACAAGAAGAAAAAUCCCUACGUGUAGGGAACUGACGGUAUUGUAUGAAUAAGCAUCGGCUAACUCCGUGCCAGCAGCCGCGGUAAUACGGAGGAUGCAAGCGUUAUCCGGAUUUAUUAGGUUUAAAGGGUGCGCAGGCGGACCUUUAAGUCAGUGGUGAAAUCUUGCGGCUUAACCGUAAAAUUGCCAUUGAAACUGAAGGUCUUGAGUACAGUUGAGGUAGGCGGAAUGUGUCAUGUAGCGGUGAAAUGCAUAGAGAUGACACAGAACACCGAUUGCGAAGGCAGCUUGCUAAACUGUGACUGACGCUGAGGCACGAAAGCGUGGGGAGCGAACAGGAUUAGAUACCCUGGUAGUCCACGCCGUAAACGAUGAUCACUCGUUGUUGGCAAUACAUCGUCAGCGACUGAGCGAAAGCAUUAAGUGAUCCACCUGGGGAGUACGUCGGCAACGAUGAAACUCAAAGGAAUUGACGGGGGCCCGCACAAGCGGAGGAACAUGUGGUUUAAUUCGAUGAUACGCGAGGAACCUUACCUGGGCUUAAAUGCAGAUUGCCUUCUCGGGAAACCGAGUUUUUCUUCGGAACAAUCUACAAGGUGCUGCAUGGUUGUCGUCAGCUCGUGCCGUGAGGUGUCGGGUUAAGUCCCAUAACGAGCGCAACCCCUAUUGUUAGUUGCUAGCAGGUAAUGCUGAGGACUCUAACGAGACUGCCGGUGUAAACCGAGAGGAAGGUGGGGAUGACGUCAAAUCAGCACGGCCCUUAUGUCCAGGGCUACACACGUGUUACAAUGGCCGGUACAAAAGGCAGCUACCUGGUGACAGGACGCUAAUCCUAAAAACCGGUCUCAGUUCGGAUCGAAGUCUGCAAUUCGACUUCGUGAAGUUGGAUUCGCUAGUAAUCGCGCAUCAGCCAUGGCGCGGUGAAUACGUUCCCGGGCCUUGUACACACCGCCCGUCAAGCCAUGGAAGUUGGGGUGCCUGAAGUCCGUAACCGUAAGGAGCGGCCUAGGGUAAAACCGAUGACUGGGGCUAAGUCGAAACAAGGUA
rnacentral:rRNA from 1 species